AUGAAGAAUUUGAGACUCAGAAGGGUUCAAUGAUUUGUCCAAGACCACGUAAUAAGUGAUGAUGAAUCCUAGAUUAGGAUCUAGGUUCCAAACUCAAAAUGAGCAUAUUUUAUACUCUACCGGCAUUGCUUCCUAUAAUAAUGGAGAUGUUCAUUUCUGAAACAAAAACCCCUGAUUAAAUAAGCAAUUAAUUUAAUAAAGAGAUAGAUGAGAAAGGAACCAACAACGCUUAUUUGCCAGGAUACUACGCCUUCAUCUUGAAUGCUGAAUCUCAGAAGGUAACACCUCAAAAUCCUUUUCAUUGAUUUUGGUUUGUUUUCACUUGGCUUCCUGGGUAAAGAGCUUCUCAAUCUCUUCGGUGCAGGGUAAUUGGAGGCAAAUGGCCCCUGUAAAACAGGAUGGAGACAGCAUUCAAGCAAAGUGCCUAUAAUCUUUGACUCUACAAAGCAUCUCAAAGAUCCUCCACCAGUCUUCUCUUCUCCUCAGGGUUGGGAUGGAACACGUCUAUGGGACCAGGUCUAAUUGCUUGCUGUUCAGAGAGGCAUUCUGCAACCCUUCUGGCCUUGCUGUUGCAAAGUGAAGUUGAUGCCUAGGACUCGAGACUUUAUUACUCUCGGUCGCUUACCUGCUUUCUCCUUUGGACUAAGUCUGAUUUUGGGCCAUAAUGACAGGAAAGAUUUGUGGCUAUACCCAGGACCCAGACAGAGGCGUCUUUAUUGCUCCCAGUUGUUAGUUACAUUUAUGUAUAUUUUGUGACUGACCUUAUUAACACACAUUUCUGCAUUUUUAAUAGAGAACACUAUAGUAGAACUCUUCAUUUGUCAUUGAACAUGUACUUCGUUGGGAUAAUUCUUGAUUUAUUAAAAGAACUUUUCAUUUGUCAUUUCCUUGAUUAGGUUGUGGAUGUGUUUUGUUUGUAUUCUCCAUCACACUUACACUAAAAUCUUGCUAUAUCAGACGUUUGAUACAUUGAUUGUUUCAUUCAUUCACAAAUAUUCCUUGGGAAUCCUUUGAGACAGGCCUUUUGGCAGAUGAUUGAAGACUAAGAGCUCCUUUCUCCAAGGAGUUACAAGGAAGGGGAGCGAUCACGGGAGUCAGUGUUUCUCAAAGAAUGAAAGCAUAAUGGAGGGGGAUGCAGUUUUAAUACUUUCCAUAAUGUGAAAGGUACGAUUGACAUUUGAAUGUUCUUAACAUUCUCUUCAUUUAAUAAACAUGAAUUAUUAUUUCCCCUAAUCCCA
rnacentral:lncRNA from 1 species